CUCCCGGGCCAACCAUAACUGACCACAACAACAAUGGCUAUACUUCCAGUGGGGUUAAGCACGUAAAACCUUCCCAAACACCACAAAUUACAGUUACUGCCAGGAAUUACG